CCAUGUUUUGUUGAAACACCGGCUCAUAUCCGAUCACCGAAGUUAAGCAACGGUGAGCCUGGUUAGUACCUAGAUGUGUCAUCGCUUGGAAAUACCAGGUGCUGUAAG